ACUCUGCCUAUUUGCUGUCACAUCUUGGCUGGCAGCAGGAGAGUCAAACCUGACAGGGACCGUGAAAAGCCUGGAGUUUUCAGCCUGCUAGGCAAGCGGCGGUGCCAUAGAGAUUCUGAUCGGGUCCCAGCUCUUCUAUUCUCGAAGCACCCCUGUCCCCUAUACCUCUCAUCCUGCAGAGAAAUACUGCUGUACGCUGUGCCUCUUUCCAGCAAGAAAGGUUUCUUCAUCUACUCUAGGCUGCAUUUUAGCAUUUACCCCAAGGCCUGUUACAAAUGGACAGAAAAUUAAAUUUUUCUUUUUCCUCUUAGGAAGAGAAAACCUAACUAUAUUUCCAACUUAUAACAGUGUAUUUUCCACGUUUUCAUUGUAUCAUGGUCAUGUGUAGCCCUUUGCUGAUAGACAGGGAACAUGGAUGGAGCUGGAGCAUGGAUAAUAACUGAGGAAAGGAAAACCAAAGACCACAUGUUCUCACUUGCAAGUGGGAGCUAAAUGAUAAGAACGUACGAACACAAAGAAAGAAACAACAGACACUGGGGUCUACUUGAGGGUGGAGGGUGGGAGGAGGGAGAGGAGCACAAAAGGUAACUAUUGGAUAUGGGCUUAAUUCCUGGGUGAUAAAAUAAUCUGUACAACAAAUCCCCGUGACAUGAGUUUACUGAUGUAACAAACCUUCACAUGUACUUCUGAACCUAAAAUAAAAGUUACAAAAGAAUUAUUUUCUAUUAUUAAACAUGUCCUUUGGAAACAUUUUCAUAUAUAACUUUGAAUACUUUGUUGUGCCCUGAGGAAAGUAUGCAGUAGCUGAUUUUUGACUUUUAUUGAAAAUGUUUUUUGUUCUCCAUUCUUCACAAUUUUUCCAUUGAAAUGUAAUGAUAAUACCUGCAUCGUCUACCAAUCCAAACAAUAUAUAGUCAAAAGCGAAAUUGAUAGUCUCUCACUUUCUCUUUCUAAUCCCAUUUUCUAAUGUAACUACUGUAAACUAUGAUUUCCUUUGCUGAUAGAAACAAAUGCCACACACACAUGCGCACAUAUAUACAUAUAUACCCAUUGAAGAUUAAAAAACAAACAAACAUGAGGACCUAACAUGGAGCUGCUAUUCUUCCCUAAUGGUCUGUUGCGGACCUAUUUUGAAGUCGAUGCAUAAUGAUCCACAUUUUUAAAUAGCUGCUUAUUGUUUCAUAGAAUUAAUAUAUCAUGGUUUAGGAAACCAUUUCCCUAUAUAUGGAUAUCUAAGUCUAUUCCAGCUGCAGUAACAAAAUGUCAUAAACUGGGUAUCUUAUAAAUAACAGAAAUUUAUUUCUCACAGUUAUGGGUCUGGGAGUUCCAAGAUUAAGGUAUCACCAGAUUUGAUGUCUGGUGAGGGCUUGUUCCUCAUAGACAGUGUCUUCUUGCUGUAUCCUCACAUGGCAGAAAGGGCAGACAAACUCCUUUGGGCCUCUUUUGUAAGGGCACAAAUCCCUUUCAUUCUCUAAAGGCCUCAUCUCUUGCUACUAUUGCACUGAGGAUUAGGAUUCAACAUAUAAAUUUUGAGGGAACACAAAUAUGCAGACUAUAGCAGUGGAUAGUCCAGUUAUUUACAGAUAUUUUUAUUAUAAAUCUUUUAGAUAUCUUUUUGGGUAAGACUGUUGACAGUAUCAGACAUUGCUGAUUUUUCUUUUUUCUUUCCCCCUGAUGGAAUCCUAAAAAUGAAGAUACUCAGUGAGGGAGUGUGCGUACUAUAAAUUUUAUAUUGCUAGCUUUAUUUUCCAAAAUAUUAUAAAAAUGUACAUUCAUCAAUAAUAAAUGAGACUGCCUUUUUCUGUAGGUUU
ensembl:lncRNA novel transcript